rnacentral:rRNA from 1 species
CCAGUAAAGCAUCUCACUUACACCGAGAAGACACUCAUGCAAAUUGAGUCACCCUGAGCCAAACAGCUAGCUUAACUACCUCAUAACUUAAUAAUAUAAAUAAAACAAAAUAAACCUAACACCAAAAACUAAACCAUUCUUUUACCUUAGUAUGGGAGACAGAAAAGGUUCCACAAAGCAAUAGAAAUAGUACCGCAAGGGAAAGCUGAAAGAGAAAUGAAACAACCCAUAUAAGCACCAAAAAGCAAAGACUAAACCUUGUACCUUUUGCAUCAUGAUUUAGCCAGCACACCCAAGCAAAGAGACCUUUAGUUUGAAGCCCCGAAACCAGGUGAGCUACCCCGAGACAGCCUAUUAAGGGCCAACCCGUCUCUGUGGCAAAAGAGUGGGAAGAGCUCCGGGUAGAAGUGACAGACCUACCGAACCUGGUGAUAGCUGGUUGCCUAAGAAAUGAAUAGAAGUUCAGCCUCAUUUAAUCCUCACACCAAAAAUAUAAAACAAGACAAUAAGAGAAACACAUGAGAGUUAGUUAAAGGGGGUACAGCCCCUUUAACCAAGGACACAACCUUCUCAGGAGGACAAAGAUCAUAAUAUUCAAAACAUACUGUUCUAGUGGGCCUAAAAGCAGCCACCUAAACAGAAAGCGU